CCAGACUCCUACGGGAGGCAGCAGCUAAAAAUAUUCCGCAAUGGACGGAAGUCUGACGGAGCGACGCCGCGUGGAUGAAGAAGGCUGAAAAGUUGUAAAAUCCUUUUGUUGAUGAAGAAUAAGGGGAAGAGGGAAUGCUUCUCUGAUGACGGUAAUCAGCGAAUAAGCCCCAGCUAAUUACGUGCCAGCAGCCGCGGUAACACGUAAGGGGCGAGCGUUGUUCGGAAUUAUUGGGCGUAAAGGGCAUGUAGGCGGUUGUGUAAGCCUGAUGUGAAAUCCUGGGGCUUAACCCC
rnacentral:rRNA from 1 species